CUGAUUGAGAGAGAUUGAGGUAGAGAGUGCAUGCACAAGUCUCACCCCUGAUUUCUGGUCUUCCUCUGUCUUACUUUCUUGUCUAGUGCCAGCGACAGUGAAAGGUCUCCUUCUUCCUCGGUUCUUCUCUGUCGCCAGCUAUGGAAGCAUUAAGAUUCAUCUUGCUCUCCCUGUUUUACAUCGCUGAACGCUCACCAUUGGGGGUCAUUAUAAGCUCGUCCGAUCACCAUUCUUCUCUAUCGCUAGCGUGGGUUCUUCGAUUUUGGGCCGUGGCAGUCAUUCUUUGCUGCAGAAGAAGCGUUAUUUUUCCUCCUCCUGGUUAUGGUCACUGAUUUGGGAUGAAGAAGCUUCAAGUUUUGAUUAUCGUUCUCAACUGACUUGUUUGAUGCAGUAGUUGGCUCGCUUCCCAUAUCUGAGGGAGGACUUCAGAAUUACAGGUAUGGAGCUCAGUUCAUUUAUUAAUAUUCUUAUAUCAUUCAUGGAUUUUUUUGGCUUAUAAGGUUAAUCUUAUGUGGGGAUCUGUCAUUAAAAAAAAACCCGUCGGAAUAUAAUAUGGGUGCUUGCAAUAGAUAAUGUGGUUUCUUGAAAAACAAGAAAUGUUUAAAAUGAAACAAAAAAUUAUGGAAAUGAAGGGAUAGAAUGAGUGGAUAUAAACCAAAAGGAACAAAGGAUCCUAAAGAAGUGAUAGAGGAAGUCAGGAGCAGAGGGAAGAGAGCAGAGGCGUGGGUUUUUUAGGAUCAUGAGCUAGUCAUUUUCCCUUAUCAAGUUGGAGUUUAUGACAUCAAAGAUCCUAUUGGUUUUGUGAGGAAUGUACCUCAAGCACUUGGAGACCCCUGAGAUCAAGCUCAUGAUUUUACAUCUUAAUGAUGUCUAAUUUGGAGGGCAAUGAGUUUAUGGAACUAGCAUGAUCAAAUUGUCCUUGACUUCUGCAAAUGCAAUUAGAAGUAUAUGCUAUAAAACAAAAAGAUAUUCACUUCAAAUAGGGUUUUGCCUCCCUUUAGCUAGGAAAUUAAAUGUUAGAGCCUUUUACAAAUGAGUUUUACAAGAUGAUUACAACAAUUAGAUAGUGUUAAAAAGUCUACCGACUCUCUCUCUCCCUCUUCCAAAUUUCUCUCUCAUCUAGUGGUAAGGUCUUUUCAAGAAAAAUCUGGAUAUUCUCAGAGAAGCAAUAGUGGUGAAAAGAUGAUUCUAGAAAUAAUUUUUUAAUCUUCUAUGAUAAUGAUAAAAUAGAAUGAUCGAGAAAAACUCCCACCAACAUCACCUACUGGUGUGUGAUGUGAAUAAGUGGAAAUAGAAGAAGUGUGUGAGAGAAACUGAAGAAAGAGCUGGAGGAAGAAGUGUGAGUGUUUUGUAAGAGUGAAGUGUGCAGAGAAGAGAAGAAACAAAUGAGAGUGUGUGAUGAGUGACGUGAAAAGAAGAGAGAGUGUUGAGGGUGUGUUGAAAAGUUAAGAAGGAAGUGUGUAAAUUAUUGCUAGAGCUUGCAAUAAAAAUUUUCUUUCCUUAAAGUCCCUCCUUUCCUUUCAUAUCUAAGCUUAUACCAAUUAUUUGGAGGUUCCUACUUCAAACUCCAACAUAAAGGACUUUUAUGCAUGUGGAGAUGAAAGAUGUAAUAAAGUCAAUGUCUAUGAUAAUUCAACAUAAGUUCUCAAUCUUAUUUGAAAGUAUUAUUCCUACAAUCAUCCUGCAUCUAAUACUAUUAAAAAGAUAAGAGAUCUAAUCAUGCAUGAAUUGGUUAUUUUUUAUGAUGCUUAUAGAGAUGAUAAUGAAUGAGUAGAAUUUAUAGGGUGCCUAAGCUUUUCAUAUUUAAUCAUUUCAUUCUUAUGUAAUGUCAACAAGUUGGCAAUUUCUGCAGGUCCAUAUAUGCGCCUAAAUCUUGAUAUAAUGGAAAAAUAUCAUAGCACCUUCGCAAGACUUAAUUUCUUUCCAUAUUGUGAUGCUUCACAUUUAGGGUACUUCUCUAAGGCAGGAAACUCAUUAUGAAAUAAGAUGCAAUCGUUAGGCCAUGCAUGUAUUUUCUCAUAGCCUAAACUAGUUGGACUGAGCAUUUACUUGGCCUCAUAUAUCUUGGUAAGAAGUUCAUUAUCAAAAGGGAACAUUUUUUUCAAAGCAUUAAGCAAUAAAGUGAAACUCUUACCAGUCCAUUCACAAGUAGCUUUCAAAUUAUACAAUAUCAAAACUGUUAAGAGUCUAGUGUAUUUAGUACAACCCAGAUACAAUGAUUUCUUUGAAUCACUUAUCAACCUUUCAAAAAUUUAAGGGCAAUCACGAAGAUCAUCCUUUAUUACAUUUAGCAUUUCAUCAAGAUGAUCAUUCUCACACACAUUAUUGCUGUCAGUAUCAUUGCAUGCAUCUUGUCUCUCAAAAGACCUUAUGGUAUACACACCCUUUCACUGGAUACAUUAUUUCUCUCCCCAUGCCUUUCCCAGCAUGUAUAACUUUGAUGAAUACUAUGACAUAUUAAAUGAUCUAGCAACUUAGUUGGAGUAAUUUGCUUUUCAUUUCAACAAGUUAGGCAAGGACAUAAAAUUUUGUUUGAAUCUUUUGCAUACUCAAUUACAAAAUGAAUAAAUGCUUUCAUCCCAUCCUUAUGUUCCUUUGACAACUGAUUAGCGAAUAUCUACUUUCGAUCUAGACCUUAUACCUAUUGAUAUUCAUUGAUAUCCAUCAAGUUAGGUAAUAGACAACCAUUGAUAUCCAAAGCAACUAAAUGAGUUAUGGUAAUUAAAGAAAUUAGGACAUGGUCUAGUCAAUUAGAAACAUGCAACAUGAAAAUUGAAUAAUUGGAUUUAAAAUAAAUCUAAACAAAUUAAUUCAAAAUUUUAAAAAAAUUUAGUGGCAUGAUGACUUAAAAAUGAAAAUUUCCAUAUAUUAAACCCUCUAUUUAAUACU